GAUGAAGAACGCAGCGAAAUGCGAUAAGUAAUGUGAAUUGCAGAAUCCAGUGAAUCAUCGAAUCUUUGAACGCACAUUGCGCCCGCCAGCAUUCUGGCGGGCAUGCCUGUUCGAGCGUCAUUUCAACCCUCGACCUCCCCUUGGGGAGGUCGGCGUUGGGGACCGGCAGCACACCGCCGGCCCUGAAAUGGAGUGGCGGCCCGUCUGCGGCGACCUCUGCGUAGUAAUACAGCUCGCACCGGAACCCCGACGCGGCCACGCCGUAAAACACCCAACUUCUGAACGUUGACCUCGCAUCAGGUAGGACUACCCGCUGAACUUAAGCAUAUCAAUAAGCGGAGGA
rnacentral:misc_RNA from 1 species